rnacentral:rRNA from 1 species
GACGAACGCUGGCGGCGUGCUUAACACAUGCAAGUCGAGCGGUAAGGCCCUUUCGGGGGUACACGAGCGGCGAACGGGUGAGUAACACGUGGGUGACCUGCCCUCAGCUCUGGGAUAAGCCUGGGAAACCGGGUCGUAAUACUGGAUAUGACUCCAUGACGCAUGUUGUGGGGUGGAAAGCCUUGUGCGGCUGAGGAUGGGCCCGCGGCCUAUCAGCUUUGUUGGUGGGGUGANGGCCUACCAAGGCGACGACGGGUAGCCGGCCUGAGA